rnacentral:lncRNA from 1 species
GAAAGCAUGCAGUAAAGAGAUCUUACAUCUUUGAAAUCUUGUCUGUCGAAAACGCAUGCUUUAACAUGUCAGCAGCCACAUAUAUGGGCAAAUGUAUUUUGUUACCAAACCUGUGUAUUGCAUCUGUCAAGCUCAUACCACCUGCGCUGUGUCCAACAAGUAUUAUAUUACCUACAAUCCUACAUACGUACGUACUUAGAUUUAUAUAACAAACAAUGUAAAAGUUAACACCAACACGAGUUAAGCUUCUAUCUAUGAGAUCGAUCCAGAGGCAUAGUACUCGUAUACCUUUUCAUUCUGGAGCAAGGUGGACAGGAACUGAAUGAGAGGCUUGUUAUAGAUAGUCUUCGAAAGUGAGGUUGUGUUGGGAUCAGACUCAUGAUCAAUACCAGCACCUUUGAGAUCCAUGCAUGUCACUUUGUGGCCUGAUGCUUCCUGGAAUCCCGGAGACACUCGAGUUUGUACCAGCACCAAGCUCCAUGCCCUACGCAAUGGACUAGAACCAAGUGAUGAUGAUGAGGAUUUGCUACUUCAGUUUCUGGGUUUAUUGCUGCUCUUAACUCUUUAAGUUUAGACUUUUGGUCCUACGCGCGUGCAGCUCUUAAUCCCAGGGGCGGAGUCAGGGCUCAAAUUUUUGAGCUGGUUAAGAAGUGUUAAACAGUAAUGCGCACUGGUCUCUCUAGACUAUAUUUAAGAUUAUCUAGUUUAAUCUAGAACUUAUCUUUAGUGAUCAUGUAUGAUUGUAGAAAAAUCUAGAUUAAAUAUAAUCUAGUAUUGUCUAGAGUGAAGUCAUGUCAGUGGAGGUAAACCAAUGUCGGUUUAAAACUCUAUAAAUAAGUAUUAAAGUCUUGUAUCAUGAUGUAAUCAAUCAACCAAGCUAUCAAUACAAACUCUGUUUUUCUACAACAACUAAAUCUCCUCUGUUGCACACCUCCUCUAAUUCAAAUCUUCCAUUUCCUAAACACUCUUUGGCCUAAACACUAACUACCUUACCUUCUAAAAACCAUCAGUGGUAUCAGAGCAGUUCUGAUCUAUUCGGGGCGUGUCCACCAUGUCAUCAUCUACCUCCAAUAACUCCCUACCUCUUCCAAUCUUCUCCGGUGAGAACUACGACUUUUGGAGCAUUAAAAUGAAGACUUACUUCAUGUCUCAAGAUCUAUGGGACAUAGUCGACAGAGGAAUCACAACUACAGAGAAUCCUUCGGUCGAGCAACUACGUCAAGAGAGGAAGGAGAAGCAAAGAGAUGCUAAUGCUCUUUAUGCCAUCCAACAAGCAGUGGAUGAUGCGAACUUCUCAAGGAUCAUGGGAGCUUCUACAGCGAAGGAGGCUUGGGACUUGUUGAAAGAGGAAUUUCAAGGGACAACUAAGGUGCGCUCUAUCAAAUUUCAAACUACGAGGAGAGAGUUGUAAAACUUGAAGAUGAAAGAUUCUGAGAUCAUUAAAGAUUAUUACUAUCGUCUUAAGGGAGUAGUGAACCAGUUAAGAGCCUAUGGAGAAAACAUAUCUGAAACUAGAGUUGUUGAAAAAAUACUAAUCAGUCUAACUGAGAAGUAUGAUCCGGUAGUUACUGCUAUAGAAAACUCUAGUGACAUAUCUCAACUUUCGGUGACUGAACUCAUAGGCUCAUUAGAAGCUUUCGAAAAAAGAUUGAGUAGUCGGGAUGAUACUCCACUAGAGAGUGCAUUUCAGUCUAAACUCAAUCUACAAUCUCAGAAUUAUAAAAGAGAAGAAAAGAAGAUAAAUGAUUAUCCUAGAGGAGGAGGAGAAAAAUCUAAAAAUUGGGAAAAUAAAAGAGACUUUAAGCAAAGAAGAACUUAUCCUCCAUGUGGGACAUGUAAGAAUACCAAUCACAAAGAAGCAGAUUGCUGGUUUCGCGGUAAGCCAAAAUGCCGAAAUUGUAAUAGAUUCGGCCAUGUUGAAAAGAAUUGUCGGCUCAAGAAGAAGUACCAAGCCAAUUUUUCAAAGGAGAAUGAAGAAGAUGAGCACCUAUUCUAUUCAUGUGAAGCUGCAUCUGAGGAGAAAAACCAGACAUGGUAUGUUGACAGUGGUUGUAGCAAUCACAUGUCAGGAGAUGAAUCUAUCUUCUCCAACCUUGAUACAUCAAGGAAGUCACGAGUGAAAAUGGGGAAUGGCGCUUUAGUGCAUACGAAAGGCAAAGGUACUAUCUCCAUCCAAACUAAUUUAGGAACUAAGUGUAUUGAUGAUGUUUUAUUAGUUCCUAGUUUAGAGCAUAAUCUGUUAAGUGUUGGUCAAAUGAUGGAGAAUGGUUAUGCUCUAUUAUUCUUUGGAGGCUCUUGUAAAAUAUAUGAUAAAAAAAGAAGGAUGAUAUUUAAUGUAAAGAUGGAAAAUAGAAGUUUUCCUAUCCAAUGGUUACAAAGGGCCAUGAAGGCAGUUGUAGAUGAUUCAUGGCUGUGGCAUAAACGCUUUGGCCACUUAAUUUCCAUGCUUUGAGAACUCUUUCUCAAAGAAAAAUGAUGAAGGACCUGCCAAGCAUAGAGGUGAUUGAAGAUGUCUGUAGAGCCUGCCAACUCGGGAAGCAGCAGAGACAAGCAUUUCCUUCUAGAAGAGCUUGGAGAGCAAAAGACUACUUGGAGCUUGUGCAUACGGACGUCUGUUAACCUAUGAGGACUCCAUCUCUUGAUCAAAGCAGGUACUUCAUUCUUUUCAUUGAUGAUUAUACUAGGAUGACAUGGGUCUACUUUCUACGUGAAAGGUUUGAAGUUUUCAAGAUCUUUCAAAAGUUCAAGAACCAUGUUGAGAAACAAAGUGGCCAUUACAUCAAAGCUCUUAGAAGUGACAGAGGUAAAGAAUAUACCUCUAAACAAUUCAACAAAUUUUGUGAAGAUGAAGGAGUAGAGCACCAACUAACAGUGGGCUAUGCUCCUGAACAAAAUGGAGUCUCUGAGAGAAAAAAUAGAACCGUGAUGGAGAUGGCAAGGUCAAUAAUAUGUGAAAAACACUUGCCAAAGACUUUUUGGGCAGAAGCUGUAUAUACAGCAGUCUACUUGCUAAAUAGAUGUCCAACAAAAGCUCUACAAGACAAGACACCAAUUGAAGCUUGGAGCAACAAGAAGCCAUCAGCAAAGCAUCUCAAGGUCUUUGGGAGCAUUUGCUAUGUUCAUAUUUCAGCUGUUAAAAGGCACAAGUUGGAAGAAAAAUCAGAAGUUGGUAUAUUUGUCGGCUACAGCUCGCAAGCUAAAGGCUACCGAGUAUACAAUCCAAAAACGGAGAAGCUCAUGAUCAGCAGGGAUGUUAAGUUCGAUGAAGCUGCCUAUUGGGAUUGGGAAAAAGAAGAAGUUAUGAAGAACAAAUUUGUCCCAACAGAAAAGCAACAGAUUACAUCUCCUUUGCAUUCAAGGGAAGAAGAAUUUGAAGAAGAAACUUCAGAAUUUCCAGGUACGCCCUCUAUUGCUCUUCCAUCUAAUCAAGAAGAAUAUGAUGUUCCAGAAUCUCCACCUAGAAGAGUAAAGUCAUUGAGGGAUAUAUACGAAACAUGCAAUUUUGUAUCUUUAGAACCUGAAAGUUUUGAAGCUGCAGUAAAACAAGAAAAUUGGAGAAAAGCCAUGGAAGAAGAAAUUAAAACAACUGAAAAAAAAAUCAAACAUGGGAACUUGUAGAGCGCCCACCAAACAAAGAGAUAAUUGGUGUUAAAUGGGUCUAUAAGACCAAAGUCAAUCCCGAUGGCUCAAUACAAAAAUACAAAGCAAGAUUAGUAGCAAAAGGCUACUCACAACAGCCAGGGUUAGACUACAACGAGACCUUUGCACCUGUUGCAAGGCUCGACACAAUAAGGGCUCUUGUAGCUCUUGCAGCUCAAAAGAGAUGGAAAAUCUAUCAACUUGAUGUUAAGUCGGCUUUCCUAAAUGGUGAACUCGAAGAAGAAAUCUAUGUGGAGCAACCGCAAGGAUUCAUAAAGAAAGGAGGAGAAGAUAAAGUGUUCCGGUUGAAGAAAGCUCUAUAUGGGCUUAAGCAGGCAUCACGAGCGUGGAACAGUCGCAUCAAUAAAUACUUCAUCAAUGCUGGAUUCAGGAGGAGCAAGAGUGAGCCAACUCUCUACACCAAAACUCAAGGUAACUCUAUCCUCAUCGUCUCUUUAUAUGUGGAUGAUCUCAUUUAUACCGGUGAUAAUGAUGAAAUAAUUCAAGAGUUCAAACAAGACAUGAUGAGGACAUUUGAGAUGAGUGAUCUCGGCCUAAUGCACUAUUUUCUUGGUAUUGAGAUAAACCAAGAAGCAAAUGGGAUUUUCAUAUGUCAAAAGAUGUAUACUGAAAAUCUCUUGAAGAAAUUCAAAAUGAAUGGGUGCAAGGCUGUGGCAACUCCACUCAUCACUAAUGAGAAAUUUAAAAAGGAGGAUGGCUCUCUGAAGGCAAAUGUAUCUAGCUAUAGAAAUCUCAUUGGAAGCUUACUUUAUUUGACUACAACUCAACCCGAUAUUAUGUAUGCAACAAGUCUUCUAUCAAGGUUCAUGCAUAGUCCAAGUCAGAUACAUUAUGGUGCCGCAAAGAGGAUCUUGAGAUAUCUACAAGGUACCAUUAAUUAUGGUAUCUGGUACCGGCCUACUUCAAAGACAAAGCUUGUUGGCUUUGAAUCAGAAUUGUUUGGCUACACGGACAGUGACUGGGCUGGAUCAAUGGAUGAUAUGAGAAGUACUUCAGGGUAUGCAUUCACUAUCGGGUCUGGCAUAUUCUCUUGGUCUUCAAAGAAACAAGACACAAUUGCCUUGUCAUCAGCUGAAGCGGACUACGUUGCAGCAGCAAGCUCGACAUGUCAAGCAAUAUGGCUAAGAAGAAUCUUUGAAGACAUGGGAGAGAAACAAGAAAAUGCCACAAGAAUCUUCAGCGACAACAAAUCUGCAAUUGCAAUGGUGAAGAAUCCAGUGUGUCAUAACAAAACGAAACAUAUCAAGAUCAAGCAUCACUUCUUGAGAGAAGCUUCAACAAACAAAGAAAUUGAGCUCCACUACUGCAAGAAAGAAUUACAGCUAGCUGACAUCUUCACUAAGGCACUCGCAAGAACAAGAUUUGAAACGCUGCGAAGCAUGCUUGGUGUAGCACCAAUGCACAUUAAGGAGGAGUGUUAAACAGUAAUGCGCACUGGUCUCUCUUGACUAUAUUUAAGAUUAUCUAGUUUAAUCUAGAACUUAUCUCUAGUGAUCAUGUAUGGUUGUAGAAAAAUCUAGAUUAAAUAUAAUCUAAUAUUGUCUAGAGUGAAGUCAUGUCAGUGGAGGUAAACCAAUGUCGGUUUACAACUCUAUAAAUAAGUAUUAAAACCUUGUAUCAUGAUGUAAUCAAUCAACCAAGCUAUCAAUACAAACUCUGUUUUUCUACAACAACUAAAUCUCCUCUGUUGCACACCUCCUCUAAUUCAAAUCUUCCAUUUCCUAAACACUCUUUGGCCUAAACACUAACUACCUUACCUUCUAAAAACCAUCAAGAAGCUUAAGCUAAGAAGACCUUUGGGUUGUAAAAAUGGCAGAAAUGGGAGAAAAAGAAGAACAGCGUAGAAGAAGAAGAAGAAGAAGAAGAAGACUUGCUUGAUUCUUUUUUCUGAAAAAAUAGCUCUUUCCAGAAGAUGCCAUUUAGGACUUGGGAGUGUAGCUAGCUAGAGAUCCAAUGCAAUGGCAGUGUUAAAACACAGACGCGCGUGUGCAUCACGCGCAUGUUAUUUUAAUCAUUUUGACCGUGGCUGGUAUUGAUUUGAAGUCUUCAGUCGUUGACUUGAGCCAAGGUACAGAUCGUGAAACAAACUCACGUACCCAACAAAGCAGAGAAUUAACUAGAAAAUUGAUCGAGUAUUAUCGAUUAUUCGGAAGACUCGAUUUUCAGGUAAAACCAUAUAUUGUUUCAGAAAUGGCUAUCACGAACAUUAGUUUGAACCCCGUUGCCAUAUAUUGUUUCUUGCCUUCUAUCAAUGUUUCCGGUAUAUAUAUAUAUAUNN